UACGGGGGGGGCAAGCGUUGUUCGGAAUUACUGGGCGUAAAGGGCUCGUAGGCGGCCAACUAAGUUGGACGUGAAAUCCCUCGGCUUAACCGGGGAACUGCGUCCGAUACUGGAUGGCUUGAGAUUGGGAGAGGGAUGCGGAAUUCCAGGUGUAGCGGUGAAAUGCGUAGAUAUCUGGAGGAACACCGGUGGCGAAGGCGGCAUCCUGGACCAACACUGACGCUGAUGAGCGAAAGCCAGGGGAGCAAACGGG
rnacentral:rRNA from 1 species